UCCGUGAUCGUAUAGUGGUUAGUACAUUGCGUUGUGGCCGCAAUAUAUAUAACCCAGGUUCGAAUCUUGGUCACGGCA